AGGAGCAACAGCCUUAGUGGCGGGGCCAGCUCUGGAGCCUGGAUUCGGUCCCCGCAGGAACUCCGGAGCUCUCCGUCUGCAGGGCCUGGAGGCUCCGGGCGGGG
rnacentral:pre_miRNA from 1 species